UCUAUCCGCUCAACCAGGUAUCCCUCAGGGCGAAACCAGGCAACUGGCCACAAACAAAUGAUGCCUGUGACAAUUGCAAAUGAAGCCCCGGCGACGUCACGUCCCCGUUGUGAUGGCAACGCUGCGCAUUAGAGAGCAGCGGAGAGGAAUAAUAAGACAACAAGGCCACGGAGAUCAGCGGCAGGCCGGGUGCCUCCAAAUGGCCCCGAUGAAGACUCAACCGUUUUGCUUUUCCGUCUUGGGUUUCUCCAAACGAUUUGACCCUUUUCAAUCACCCGUCAGGAAAAAGAUUACCCUCUUGACAGCAGGAGAGCGAGGAUGACUCGGAAAGACGAUGCCAGCCAGAUGAGUGUGGUUUAUUAUUUCCAUAUGCAGCGUCUCCUGCAGAUAUGUCCCAGUCUGUCAAGCUGUAGAAUCCUUGAGUUAGAAGAGACCUGGUGGGCCAUGCAUCCAGUCCAACCCCAUUCUGUCAAGAAGCAGGAAAAUUGCAUUCAAAACACCCCUGACAGAUGGCCAUCCAGCCUCUGCUUCAAAGCCUCCAAAGAAGGAGGCUCCACUGCACUCCGAAGCAGAGAGUUCCACAGCUCUCAUGUGACGAAGAUCUUCCUCAUGUUCAGGUGGAAUCUGUUAAUGUGGGAUUUGUGUAUUGAUAGUGUUUAAAUGCAAUUUGUGCCAUGCUUGUAUUGCAACUGAUUGCAUCAUCCAGAAUGUACCAUAGCGUGGAAAGAGUUAAUUGCCAAGAAGCGAUGAUGACCUUGAUAUGUGGCUGGAACUAGGGAGUAUCCAGACACAAGUGUUUUUGCAUAACAAUUGCAUCAGUUCCGUUGAGUUCUGUCUGCCUAGAGUUCGAAUCAUGUUCUGUUAGAGAACAGAACAAUCCUGUGUUCGUCUGUUGUCUGCAAAUCUGUUUGUGUUGAUUACUACUGCAUACAGUAAAACUUUGUAAAUAGUUUUA